CUACGGGUGGCUGCAGUGAGGAAUUUUGCGCAAUGGGGGAAACCCUGACGCAGCAACGCCGCGUGAGUGAUGAAGGCCUUCGGGUCGUAAAGCUCUGUCAAGUGGGAAGAACCUGAUCCAUACUAAUAUCGUGGAUCACUGACGGUACCACUGAAGGAAGCACCGGCUAACUCCGUGCCAGCAGCCGCGGUAAUACGGAGGGUGCAAGCGUUAUUCGGAAUCACUGGGCGUAAAGGGCGCGCAGGCGGUUUGGUAAGUCAGAUGUGAAAGCCCGGGGCUCAACCCCGGAAGUGCAUUUGAUACUGCCAAACGUGAGUAUGGGAGAGGGAAGUGGAAUUCCUGGUGUAGAGGUGAAAUUCGUAGAUAUCAGGAGGAACAUCGGUGGCGAAGGCGACUUCCUGGACCAAUACUGACGCUGAGGCGCGAAGGCGUAGGGAGCAAACAGGAUUAGAUACCCGUGUAGUC
rnacentral:rRNA from 1 species